GGAUAUAAGAACAAGCUGACAGUGUCAUCUGUCACCCCACUGACUGCAGGGUCAAAUAGGUUGACCUGGCUGACUGGGCAGUUGUCCUCUUUCUCUCUCACUUCUCAUGUACAUGCCUCCUAAAUUUGUACACUCAGUUAAGAAGGACACCCUUCACCCAACAGCAGCUGACUGUUUCGGGGCCAAGAGUAUGAAAUAGCUGUGCUCCCCUGGUAAAACUUUCAAACAAGCCCUCAAGGUCCAUUUGAGGAAGAAUGUAGGGUAGCCAGGCCUCCAAGACUCCCUAAACAUCCAAAGGAGGUGCUGCAUGUGACAAUCUGUCUUU
rnacentral:snRNA from 1 species